AAUUUUCCGCAAUGGGCGCAAGCCUGACGGAGCGACGCCGCGUGAGUGAAGAAGGCCUUCGGGUUGUAAAGCUCUGUCUUUAGGGACGAAAGCCCUUCAUAGUGGAAAGAUGGAGGAGUGACGGUACCUAAGGAGGAAGCCCCUGCUAACUACGUGCCAGCAGCCGCGGUAAUACGUAGGGGGCAAGCGUUGUCCGGAAUUAUUGGGCGUAAAGGGUGCGUAGGCGGCCUUUUAAGUCAGAUGUGAAAGCCCACGGCUUAACCGUGGGACUGCAUUUGAAACUGGAGGGCUUGAGUAUCGGAGAGGGUAGUGGAAUUCCCAGUGUAGCGGUGGAAUGCGUAGAGAUAUGGAGGAACACCAGUGGCGAAGGCGACUCUCUGGUCUGUAACUGACGCUGAGGCGCGAAAGCGUGGGGAUCAAAC
rnacentral:rRNA from 1 species